rnacentral:rRNA from 1 species
UACGUAUGGUGCAAGCGUUAUCCGGAUUUACUGGGUGUAAAGGGUGCGUAGGUGGCAAGGCAAGUCUGAAGUGAAAAUCCGGGGCUCAACCCCGGAACUGCUUUGGAAACUGUUUAGCUGGAGUACAGGAGAGGUAAGUGGAAUUCCUAGUGUAGCGGUGAAAUGCGUAGAUAUUAGGAGGAACACCAGUGGCGAAGGCGACUUACUGGACUGCUACUGACACUGAGGCACGAAAGCGUGGGGAG